rnacentral:lncRNA from 1 species
AAAAUUCUUACAGUUUCUCGAGUAUCGUCUCAACGUUGUCGCUCAGGGAGGAGGGAACAAGCGUGAGGUGAGAGAUUCGUCACUCAAACACACUGUUUUUUUUUUUUUUUUUUGCUUUUUUCCUUAUGAGUCUGAUGAGAUCUGAUAUAUCCAGGACGCCUUGAAAGCUCUAAAAAGGCUUCCAAGUAACGAUGAACUGUGGGAGGGGUUGAUAGAAAAAUGAGGAGUGAGUGGAUUGACAACUACUCCACCAUCUUCGACCAAAAAUUUCACGACAUGGCAAAGGAGAGGGAGAAGAAGAAGAUUGAGAAGAAGGAGACGAGAAAUAACAUAAAGCUGGAUCUUUUGUGUGAAGAAAUUAAAAAGAUGUUUUUAAGUUUCUCAUUUUACGUUUUAAGUAAAUGCAAGAAUAAUAAUUGAGAAAAUGUUAUAAAAAUCCCGAACUUUCAAAUUUGGGACGAUUUAGUCCUGAAAUUUAAAGAAGUCAUUUUAAUCACAAAGUUUUGUUGACUUUUCCGUAAAAUAGCUAAGUUUUGUUGAUUUCACUUAUUUAAGCAUGACAUUUAAUUUUUGUUAAAAACUUGAAGAUGUGAUUAACUAUUUGUGAGCUACUUUUGUUUAGCCUAAAUGACCAUGUUUCUUAGACGACAAAACGACGUUGGAAGUCGUUUUCUUCCUCCAUAGGUCCGCGCUAUGGCAACAAUUCAACAAGAAGUAAAGAGAAUUUGUGGAUUUUUCUAGGGUUAGGGAGUUAGAUUUGUGAAUUAUGAAUCGAUUUAGGGAUUUAGAUUCUUCAGUUUGUUAAACGACGUCGUUUUGUAGUUUGAAACGGAAGCAACUCACGGAUAGUUAACCCCGUCUUCGCAAUUUUAAGAGAAACUAAAUGUCGUGUUUAAAUUGGCUUAAGUCAACAAAACUUACCUACUUUAAAGAAAUGUCAACAUAAACUUUGUGAUUAAAAUAACUUCUUGAAAGUUCGGGAUUAAAUCGUCCCAAAUUUAAAAGUUCGGAAUUUUUAUGAUAUUUUUCCCAAUAAUAAUUACAGUAUAUGAAAAUAUUAAUUUUCUUUUGGUGACGCUAUAUACAUUACUAGUAUUAACCACGAACUUGGUACGGGAAAAGAAAUUAAACUCAAAAAAAAUCAACAUAGCGAAUAUUUACACAGUAAUUUUCAUGUUUUCGUUUUAUUCACAGAAUUUCAGUUUGUGUAGGUGUUUUUAAUCAUAAAUGGAUAAUUAGCUUAUGAGGUUUAUAUGUUUUCUCUGUUUUUUUGUUCUGUUUUGCUUGAGGGGUUUACUUACACGUUGAUUUGGGUUACUUGGAGGAACACAUUUGUGAUAUUAGGUCACUGUAUCACUAUAAUAGAAAAGCUAAUCAUCUGAUUUUGGAAUGGAUUAAGUCUAAAAGUACUAAAUAAUUAUCCACAAAGUUUAAACUUUUUCACUAAUUUAAAACCUUUUCAUCCAUUCAGAAUAGCGUCGACGUUAUCUAUUUUUCUUUUCCUCACUGUGAAUACAUCUCAAAGCUAAAAGACAGGGUAAAUAUAUUAAGCUUCUCCAAACAAAACUGCUAUUUUGUGAAAAAAAAAACAGAGCAUAACAAAAACAGAGCACUUCAAAACUGUGAAUUGCUAAGGAAGGUAACUAUGCAUCUUGUGCUCUGGAAAAGCUUCUCCAUUUUCUGCCACACCAAACUCUGAGUUUCUAAAAGUGUCUUCGCCUUCUCUUGUAAACUUGGGUGGCACCUUAUGGUCUCACCGUGGAUCUGUCGAACAGAUAAACUCAUGUUUGUUAAGAAUUCUCCACCCGGAAAGAAAGGCACAAAAGGUGUCUGUAAUGUGUGAAGACAGUUUCUUUGGUUAUAUGGGAAACGAAGUUUCAUAUACCUUCAGAAAUAAUUUCACCACCGCCUGCAUAAACUCAAAGUCGUUUUUGCAAGAGAUCUCGUUGAUGAAGUAAUCCAGCAGUUGCCCAAUCGAUAUAAACUCAUGUCUUUUGAUAAGCUCUUCUUCAGUAUCUUCUUCAUCUAUAAUUUCAAGCAUUCUUAGCUCCAUAUCGAGAGCCGACGGGGAUAAACUCUUCAAGUAGUUGGUAAAAUCUAAAACUGCAAAAAGUACAAGGAGCUUAGAAUCGUAUUGCCAGAGCAUACAACAACAAGAAGAAUCUGUAAACUUAAACAAAGUCUUCACUUACAGUGUUUUGAAUCCCAUGAGGAUUUUAGAAGCUUUGAGAAUGGAGAUUCCAAUGCAUCAAAGUUCUUCAUGCUAUUAUGGUCCUUUUUAUUCUUUUCCUCAUUCUCCCCAUCAGCUUCAGAGUCAUUUGACUUGAAUAAUAUAUCUCCAGAAAGUGAGGGAAUUGAGGGCAAGAAAAAAGGAGCCUUUUCGGGUUUUUUCGGAGGCUCUAUUGGUUUAUUCCGGGCCUAUGAAACAACAUCAAACAUAAAUUGCGAUUAAUUUCCACACCAAAAAAUUGCCAGAACCAACAAAGCGAAUAACAUCAAAAAAAUUUGAGAAGGGAGAGAAUAUGCAAACCUUUAUUAUAUCCAGGUUGAUCAAACUCUGCCAUUGGCUUUUUGGCAAUAGAGACAGAGUAACAAGUUCUGGGAUCUGCUUAUGGGAAAUUGAGAAACUGCUAGCUUGUUGUGCCCCAGAAUUUUCUAGAACUUGCUUCUCCAUAUCCUCAUCAGCUUCAGAAGAUGUUAGUGCAGAGACUGAAGGCAAUUUAACAUUUACAACAUCUUUCCCACUAGCAUAAGAAUCAACACUUGGAAGCCCAGAGAACAUGGAUUGGUUAACCCUGACAGGUCACAAGAGGAGAGAGUGAAUUCACUAAACUAUUACUGAGAAAUUGUAACUGUAACUGCGACAAAAAAGAAUGGAUGAUUGAUUUGAGAACUUACCACAAGUAGACCCCGUUCUGAUCAGAGUGAGCAGUUGCCAAAACGUCCAUAUUUGGUGAUAAAGACAAUGCUGUUAUUGGUACAUCAACAUGCACUCCAUCAAUCUGCUUUGCCAAUAUGACAUCCCAAAUUCUAAGACUUCCAUCCAUGCUCGAUGAGAGGAGCCACUUGCCAUCCUCACUAAAGCACAAAUCCGUGACACGGUCUGUAUGACCUCUAAAUUCACGAACCAUCUUUAUUGUCACAACAUCAUACAAACGGAUAACAAAAUCAUCUGCCACCGUAGCCAAAAGACCUACAAAGGGAUAAGGAUUUAGCAAAGUCAGACAUACAGUGGUGCUCUAGGCGAAAAUGACAGGAAAACAUACAAAAGUGAGACCGUACAAGGGGAAAAGAAGUAGGGUUAGGAUAGGAGAAUAUAUGUCGACAAAAAAAAAAAGGAUAGGAGAAUAUACCAUUUACACGGUGGUAGACAAUUUUAACUAAUGAACAUCCAACAUCCCACCUGGACUUUAAUUCCCGCUUUUUGAAAUCCCAAACCUGUAUUACAGAUGAUAUAUUACAGUCUAUUUUGAGUCAUAGAAUAGGUUCAAUGCUUUAUCAACUAAGCAAUUAAUUACUUAAAGGAAGAACAAAGAAAACUUUUCAAACCUUUAUGUCCCCAUGAUAUCCUGCACUUAUCAUGAGUGUGUUUGUGGAGUCACAAGCAACUCCGAUAACUUCACCAUCAUGGGCGUACCUUCUGUUAUCUGACAUAUCGAAGUAACUACCCCGGCUGAUUCCAGAUUGGAGGUUAAAUCUCUCAAUCCAUCCACCCGCUGUUCCGACUACUGCAAAGUUUCCACAGGCGCUAAUUGCACAUGCCUAUCCGAAAAGCAAUUUUGAAGAGUCAACAACCACUAGAGAGAAGAAAAAGACCAGUAUUGCUUAAAAAAGAUGGUUCCUAGAUACCAAGAACCCCUGACAUGCUGAAGGAACUGUAACUAAAACUUAUCUUUAUGGAAUUGGUAACUCAAGAGGAUCGAUUAAUCUAAAGUCCAAGUUCUCACAGUAAUCAAUUUCAACCUAUAAGUAAUAAAGCACGUCUACAAUUCUUGUUAAAAAUAGUGAUAAAAGUCAGAUGUAAGGAUAGUCAAAUUCAAUCUUGAACCUUGACUGGAGUUGGAUUCUCAGGGCAUGGUUUGAGGAUAUGCUCUCCAAGAACAAAGUUCUGAAGUCUCCAUACAUAUGCUUCUGCUGUAUCCAUAUGGCAAGUAAUAACAUUGCACCAAUCACGCUCCCUAAUUUCAGCUUCAAUUUUUGGAAAGAAAAUAGUUACAGUAAUUAGGAUGUAUAACAAGAAAAUAACAAGUUGUGGGAGAUGCGAUUUUCUCGUCAGCAUGCAAACACAUAGUAAAACAUAAGGUAAAAUCUAAGCUCCACUUCACAAAAAGGUACUUUCUCUAAAGGGAUCAACCAAUAAACAUUCGUUCUAUUGACAAAGAGACAGCCACGUUGGACCUAAUUACUACUCAACACAUUUUGUAGAUAUCAAAUGGUUUCAAUCUAGAAUUCUUGAUUUGUUCAGACAUCAUGAUACUUAGAAUGUGACAGAAAGAAGCCAAGCAACAUAAUUGCAGAAAAUGUAAAGAUCAAGUACCGCAAUCAAAUGAAACAACAGGCUUCAACUUCAGCUCUUCGUCCUACAUUGAGAGAAUAAAUAUAUUAGCAAAACAUAUAUCAUUUCCAAGUACACAAGUUACUACGAACGCAAAAUAUAUCGAAACACAAGAUCUUAGGUAUAACAUUUUUUAAAUUGAACCAGAACCACUUAAAAGGAUGCUAACUGGCCCUUGAAAACAUAAGAGAAAUCAAAAGAAAUUGUCUGGCUAUACCUUCAGUCGGAGUUUUUUGGCUCGCCUGGAUAUGUGUCUUUGAGAAAGCUCUCUACUUUGUUGCUCCUGAUGAGGUAAUUAAUAUAAGGUAAUGACUAUUAUCGUCAAUGGACUUCAGAUCCUCAGGAAAAACAUAGACCACAAAUUAAGAAACAAUAAACUCAACAUCUAAAAGAACAAUCAGACUCAUGAAAAAUCAAACAAACACGAUGUUCAAGAAAUUCCCAUCAAAAGAACUGUCAGGUAUGGCGAGUGAGAGACAAGAAAAAAAAAACACAAAAUAUUUGAAAGUAACAUCUAACAAAAAUACUAGUCAAUUUGUAAAAUUUGCCUAUAUACCAGUACAUGAUGAGGAAAAUUACUGCUUGAUAAAUAAUAUGACAAUACUGAAAUUAGUGAUUGCAAAGCUACAAAUGAGUAGUCAGUCAUUGUCUGAAAUUUCAUAAUCCUGAUAAAGAAUUACUAAAUCUGCAUCAUAUCUUACUUGGAUGACAGAGAACAGGCGGAAGGCACGAUCCUGUCCAGCAGACAAUAUAUGCCGUCCAUUAGAGUAGAACCUACCAAAUGUAGAAGUCAAAUAAGUUUAGAAAACCUUUAUUGGCAUGCCCUCGAUAUAGCCACCAUAAAGAAACUACUCUUUCUAAGAAAACAAAUAUUCAUCACUAUAAAAUAGUCAACUGGCAGAAAUUCAUCAGUUUAAGUUUUCAAUUAUCAUCAGGAUGAACAGUAUUAGUUACUUUACCAACGACUAUGGAUCAUAAAUGCUACUUACACACCAAAAGUAAAAAAAUCUCAUAAAUAAAUAAAGAAAAGCUAAAUGGAAGCCAUCAGACAAUUCAAUAAGAUGUGGACGUCCAAACUAAUCACCUGAUACACAAAGGGGGAGCACUAUGCCCCGAGCGGAAGCGUAAUAGGCGAGGAUCAGAAUCAUUUGUGUCAAAGAUCCACAUCUACAGGUAUAAGAAUGAAAAAUAUUAUAUGAGGCACAGUGGAUGAAAAUAAGUCCAACAGGUAAGAGAAAUCUCAGCUUACUUUGAGUGAGUUAUCUGCCGAUGCACUCAUUAGCACGGGCUCAUUUGCUAAAAAGUUCAAUGAGAUUAUCGAACUGUCAUGUGCAUCUCUAAUGACUGACUGAAGUCUCUUUUUGCUAAGAUUCCAGAUGCUUAUGACACCAAAGGAACCUCCAGACGCAAGAAGGGGACGUCCAUCUAACAUGACAGGAUACACAUAUUAGCACUGGAAAGUGGACAUGUGAAUAUAUUUCUCUCUACAUAGAGAAAAAAGCUACUAGUACAAUUACAACUUAGAGUCAAGGAUAUUUUCAAAAACGAACUACAGUACUAAGGUUUUUACCUGUACUGAAAGACAAAGCAGUAACAGCACCUCGCGAGGCAUGUUCGAAGGUUACGAUCUCUUCGUCCAACUUUAUGUUAUGCACAUGGAUCUUUCCAUCAGCACAACCAAUGGCAACAACAUCCAGGGCAGGGGACGAAACACAACUGGUGACAGAUGAACCCCAACCCUUAAACUCAUAGAGCAUCUUCUUAGUAUUUAUGUUCCAUAGCUGCAACGGACCUUCUUGGCUCCCUACAAGAACCUACCAUGUGGCUCCAAGUAAGAGAAAUGGAUAGAGUUAUAUCGGCUUGUCAACAGAGGAAACCAAAAAAGAAAAAGAGAAAAGAAGAUGAAACUUUAAAACCAAGUAGGACUUACCUUGUUCAAAUAAGUAUCUGGGUGAACAAUAGAGCUCGGGGUAAACUUUCCAGUAAGCUGAAGAUUUCCAAUCGGAGCUAGAUGUUCUUCUAUUCCCUUGAAUGCCCAUAUAAACAUAUUUCCCUCAACAUCAAGACUUAGCACAUGUUCUCCAAACAACAGUAGCAGGUCAACUUUAGCAACAUGUUUGCUCCAAGUAGCUACCUGAUUAAUAUCCACAAGAAUUCUAACUAUAAGGAAAAUACUCAUAGAUUUAAAAAGCAGGAAACCCAACUUAACUUAUAAUCACAAUGAGGAACUUGUGGAAAUCAAGGGUUCUUGAAAUUUUUUUUUUGAUAUAUAUAAAAGUCACCGUUAUAACCUAUUUAUAUAAGUUGUAAGCCAAAAGGAAUGAAUACACAAACAUGGUCAAGUUAAGUUUUUUUACCUGAUGAGCACGCCUAAAGACAGCGAUUUCAUUACCAAAAGCAGCAAAAGUGUAGUCGCGGUAAGAAGCUAGAGCUCUAAUCUUCUUUGGGAGUUGAGGACCUUCAGAUAACACCAAAUUAGAUUGUUAGAAAAACAAUCGAUCGUUAACAUAAAAAUUUGAGUUUAGGCAUUAGAAAAAGAGAAAAACUUACUGAUAAUGACAAGAUUGAGCUUGGCGCACUGCAAGAAAACGAGACAAAGGAAUCCAAAAAAAAUAAAAAACCAAGGAAUGGAGUGAAUAAAGAACACGAAAGUGAAACUAAGAAGAUGGGGGCAUUACAUUAUAAAUCUGAAAAGCUUUGCCAACGCUGACGGUGACAAAGGUCUCGGUUCCUAAUCGCUGGACGGAGAACGGAACCGUACUCGUUAUGUAACCAAUUGCUCUAAACGGUUCGAAGAUUCCCAUCUUCCAGAGAGUAACUGCUUCGAACAAGAAAUUAGGGUUUGUUGUAGGGGAAACAAAUUAAGGUUUAUGUAAGUGUAGGCGUAAGAAGAAAUUCGAAGAAAGGUUUGAUUAAGAGAGAGAGAGAGAAAUAGAAAACGCGGCGGCGGAGGAGCAAUGGUGAGGAGGAGGAGGGAGAGAUAGAACAAAACAAAGUCACAAACAGGGUUUAGGGUUUAACGGUGUAAAAAGAAUUUCCUUUGUCCGAAUUUUUUAAUUUUUAUUUCCAAUUUUUUGGAUUCCGGUUAAGUGCCCCCUUCGGUUUAUAGUUUUUCUUUUUUGAUGGUUUGGAGAAUGCUCGGUUUGGUUUGGUUUGGUGAAAUUAUUACUCGGUUUCAGAUAAAAGUCAUAAGUAAAUUACUGUGAGGGCGAUUGGUGAUGACUUUUAAGGCUUUAAAACCAUUUUAAAUCCUUAACAGUAAUUAAUUUGCCAAUCAACAUUUUUUUCUUUUAUUUUUUUUAAAGCAUUAAAAGUCACUUUUUUUUUUUUUCUUUUUUUUCUCAUUUUUCUUAAAACGUCAAAAACCUGACUUUAAAUUUAAUCAAUUAAAAAGAUUUAUUUUUCAUAUCCCCAUUACAUUUAAAACCUUUUCACAAGUUUAUAAAUAUAUUUUAUAUAUUUUAUUUUUAUAAAUUAAUUACUCUCAUUUUUUUCUUGUUCUUUUAAGAUCCAUUUCAAUAAUACUUUUAUUUUAUAAAUUCAUUUAUGAUAUAAUGUAUAUUUAUUAGAAAUAUAAAAUAAUAAUAAUAAUAAUAACAUACAUAACUUUAAAAGCUAUUCAUUGCCAAUCAGAUUUUAACAGUAAAAGUUUCUACAGCCAGAGCAUCUACAGCCAAAUUCUCUACAGCCAAAAUUUUAAAGUUAAAGUCUCUACAGUCACAAGUAACAGUCGUUACCAAUCGACCUCUGUAUUGAUAACUUUACAACCACACCAAAAUUGUAACUCGGUUUUGAUCAAAAAUGAUUUCCACUCGGUUUGAUUUAAAUAAAUUUUGGUUUGAUGACAGAAAGGAUUUUUAAUCCCCAGCCGUCGGAUCAUCAGGAACUCUCUCUAGUCUAAACAGUGAGAUUGGAGUUAAAUCCUAACCGUUGGAUCAAAGCUUUCUUUGUUUUACAGUUUACACCAAUGAUUUAAGCGAUACCCUCAUCGAAAGUAAAUGGGAAUUUAAUGAAAAAAACCCUCAACAUUGGUCGGAUCCAUUUUUAAACCCUCAACUAUUUUUUUAAUAAAUAAAACCCUGAUUAGGGUUUUCGCUGGAUUGUGAAUUAACAAAAUGCAAUUUGUUAUUAUUCCUCCUCUUUAGAUCGGGAAAUAUUCCAUAUUUUGACAAAAAGGGAAAUUUUUUAGUUGCUUUUCUCUGUAAUAAAAAAAACGGAAUAUUUGAUAUUGUACAUAUAAUAGGUUAAGCCUUGACAAGUUGCUCGACAAGAAGAAAAAGAACCUUUACAAAGUUCUUCUCUCAGGGCUCUGUCUUGUGAAGAUCCAAAGAUGCUGCAAACCGUUGGGGAAACUAAAGAAAUCGACAGGAUUAGUGCAUUGCCCGAUGAUUUGCUCAUAACUAUCUUGGAUCUUGUCCCGACAAAAGACGCAGUAGCCACCAUGGUUCUGUCUAAACGAUGGUUCUAUGUUUGGACGAUGAAACAGAGACUUGAGUAUAAAGACAUCGAAGAGAAGGCUGUUGAUAGUAGUAGUGAUGAUGAUGAUGAUGAUGAUGAUGAUGAUGCUGAUGAUGAUGUUUAUGUUUUUAACUAUUGGGAUGAUGGUGCUGCUGCUGCUGCUGCUGAGCCUGAGCAUGAUGAGAAAGUGGAGGUUGAAAGCAAAAAGAGCGUUUGGUGGUUUCUUGAAAAUUCAUUGCAACUCCACAGAGCACCUAUCAUUGACAGCUUCUGCAUGGAACUCGGUCCAACGUGUCCUACUGAUGCUCAUGUCGGGAAGUGGGUUGCAUACGCUGUUGAUCGCCUCGUGCUUGAUAUGAAACUCAAUCUCCUCUGGUCCGCUGAGCCAACCAGCUUGCCCAAGAGCCUUUACUCCUGCGAACAUCUCGCGACACUGACUCUCUCCAACAAGAUUCUCGUGGAUGUUCCUCCUUCCGCUUCCCUCCCAUCCCUCACAAUGCUCGAGCUUUACAGGGUGGUUUACAAAGAUGAUGAUUCUCUGGUUAGGCUCUUAGCGAACUGCCCUGUUCUUGAGAGACUGUUGGUGAUACGAACGGCUGAGGAUGACAAUGUGACGAGCUUUCGUGUGCAAAUGCCUAAUUUAUUGUACUUAUCGUAUAACAAUUGUUAUAGAGACAGCUAUGGUGUAGGAGAUACUGGUAGGUGCUUGGCCAUAGAUACUCUGGCAUUAACAUUCUUUAGACUUUAUGAUACUUCCGGAGACUCUUGCUCGAUAGAGAUGCCUUGUCUUGAUACUGCAAUUAUCGACACUGGUUCUUAUCCUGAUGACAAGUUUGUAAUAUCUCUUUCCUCGGUCGUGCAUCUUAAGUUGUAUUUGACUCCUGAAUUGGUAUACAUCUCUCUUAUUGAGGAUAAGGAUUAUCAAAAUAUAUUGUGAUAAGGAUUAGGAGAGUUUGUGUCUAUCUAAUGUUCAUAAACGUUUGUAUAAAUACCCAAGUUUGGGAUGUUAAUAAGAUCAAGUUAGUUCGAUAACCAAUUCUACAUGGUAUCAGAGCUAAGAUCUCUUUAAACACACAGAAAUUUUUCUAAAUUCUUUCAAUCGAUAGUUUCGAUUUUCUUCCCCUUGUUCGAACAAAAGAUGGUUGAUGAUUCUUCCUCUCUUGUUCCUCAAACCCAAGGACCGACGGUCAUCUCUCCUUACACGUUGGCUAGUUCUGACAACCCUGGUGCUGUAAUUUCUUCUGUCCUAUUGAACGAAACAAAUUACAAUGAAUGGUCUCACGAGAUGGUGAACGCUCUUCAGGCCAAACGAAAAACCGGUUUCAUCAAUGGUUCGAUUCCGAAGCCACCAGACACCAGUUCUGAUCUUGAAAACUGGAAAACGGUGAAUUCGAUGAUUGUUGGGUGGAUUCGUUCCUCCAUUGAACCAAAGUUGAAAUCCACAGUUACUUUCAUAACUGAUGCACACGAAUUGUGGGAUGAGUUAACACAUCGUUUCUCAGUGGGAAAUAAUGUUCGUGUUCAUCAGAUCAAGUCCAAGCUUGCCUCAUGUCGUCAAGAUGGUCAAUCUGUGGUCGAGUAUUACGGCCGUUUGUGUAAGCUUUGGGACGAAUUGAAGAGCUAUCGAUCAAACCCGGUGUGUUCCUGUGGAGUAACAUUGUCUGCAAUUGUGAAAGAAAGAGAUGAAGAAAAGCUUCAUCAGUUCUUAAUGGGCCUUGAUGAUGCACGUUUUGGUGGGCUUUGUACAAACCUCAUUAGUAUGGACCCUUUACCAAGUAUUGCUGUUGCUUACUCCAAGGUGGUUCGUGAGGAACAACGUCUUGCCUCUGCUCGUCUUCGUGAGCAAAAGAAUGAAGCAGUUGGCUUCGUCGCUCGCCAUGAUCAACAUGAUCAAUCUUCUGCAAAAUCGGAUUCGAUUCUUGGAAAGGGACGUGUCUCAUGUGCUCAUUGUGGUCGAACAGGUCACGAACAAAAAGAUUGUUGGCAACUGGUUGGAUUUCCAGAUUGGUGGGUGGAGCGUUCUGAGCGUGGCUCUACUGGUGGCCGCGGGUCUGGCAGUCGAGGCAAAGGAGGCCGUGGCUCAAGUGGUGGUCGUGGUUCUGGUCCAGUCGUCUCAGCUCAUGCCACAAGCUCUAAUUCCUCUGUUUUUCCGGAAUUCUCAGCCGAUCAGUUGCGUGUUUUGACACAAAUGAUUCAAGAAAAGUCAAGUACUCCUAACUCCGAUCGUUUGUCUGGUAAGGAUAAAUUUGGUGAUGUUAUUUUAGACACUGGCGCGUCUCAUCAUAUGACUGGUCUCCUCUCUAUGAUGACUAAUAUGGUGUCUAUCUCACCAUGUCCCGUGGGUUUCGCUGAUGGUAGCAAGACGUUUGCUCUAAGUGUGGGAGUAUUACCACUCUCGAACAAAGUCUCGUUGACUAAUGUUCUUUAUGUGCCUUCUCUGAAUUGCACUUUAAUUUCAGUUUCUCAAGUUUUGAAGCAAACAAAGGGAAUUGCUCUGUUUACUGAUACAAUUUGUUAUUUGCAGGACCGUUUGUCGAGGACUCUGAUUGGAAGCGGUAAAGAGCGUGACGGUGUGUACUACCUUACGGAUGUUGCUUCCACAAAGAUACAUGCGGCUAAAGUCUCUUUUGAUCCAGCCUUGUGGCAUCGUCGUUUAGGCCAUCCGAGCUUUUCAGUGCUUUCUUCUUUGCCUUUGUUUUCAUCUUCUUCUUCUUCCGCUGUUAGUUCUCACUCGUGUGAUAUAUGUUUUCGGGCAAAACAAACACGAGAGGUUUUUCCAGACAGUAUUAAUAAAACGCAAGAAUGCUUUUCUUUAAUCCAUUGUGAUGUUUGGGGGCCAUAUAAAAUUCCUUCUUCUUGCGGAGCAGUUUAUUUUUUAACAAUUGUUGAUGACUUUUCAAGAGCAGUUUGGACGUAUUUGUUACUUGCAAAAUCAGAAGUACGUGGAAUUCUUGUUAAUUCUUUGGCAUAUGCUGAAAAACAAUUUGGAAAAACAGUGAAGACGGUUCGUAGUGAUAACGGCACGGAGUGUAUGUGUCUAUCUUCCUAUUUCCGUGAAAAAGGGAUCCUACAUCAAACCUCUUGUGUCGGCACGCCACAACAAAAUGGCCGAGUUGAAAGGAAACAUCGGCACAUUCUUAAUGUCUCCCGAGCUUUGUUGUUCCAAGCUCACUUGCCCAUCAAAUUUUGGGGAGAGGCAGUCUUAACAGCUGCUUUUCUUAUUAACCGUACUCCAUCUUCUAUUCACAAGGGUCGCACGCCGUAUGAGAUUCUUCAUGGGUGUAAACCGGACUAUUCUCAACUGCGUGUGUUUGGCUGUGCUUGCUACACUCAUCGCCUUACCCGUGAUAAAGAUAAAUUUGGGGAGCGUAGUCGAUUGUGUGUUUUUCUUGGCUACCCCUUUGGCAAGAAAGGUUGGAAAGUUUACGAUAUGGAACGACAUGAGUUUGUUGUUUCUCGAGAUGUUGUCUUCUGUGAAGAUGAUUUUCCGUACUCUACUGAAAGUGUCUCUUCUGGUGUUCCUAAUUCUGUUGUUCCACUAGACGGCGAUUGGUUGGUCGACACUGUGCUUUCAUCUACAACAACUACUAGUCCUGCUGAGGUGCCGAGUUCCUCUGUUGAUCACUCGCCACCAACAACGUCCGUUGUUGGUCCUGUGCCUCCUAACGAAACACUAGUCGAUGCACCGACGACUGUUGUCGAUGAUGUGGUCGAACGUGUUGAUGAUUCAACUCCGGUUGCUCCCACAGACGUAGUUUCUCCGUCUUCUCCUAUCAUUCCUCCUCCUACGCAUCGUAAAAGUCAACGUCAGAAAACCCCUUCAGUUCGUUUGCAUGACUACAUUCUCUACAAUGCUGUUAGUACACCCGAUCACACUCACGCUCUUCCCGUUUCCUCUCCUUCGUCCUCGUCUUCGGUCCAAGGUACGUCUUUGUACCCUUUGACAAAUUAUAUUUCUGAUGACAAUUUUACUUUAGGACAUCGGGCGUACUUAGCAGCUGUAACCUCUAAUGUUGAACCUAAACAUUUUAAGGAGGCCGUUCUUGUUAAAGUUUGGAAUGAUGCUAUGACUAAGGAGGUUGAUGCCCUUGAAAUAAAUAAGACGUGGGAUAUUGUGGAUUUGCCGCCUGGGAAAGUUGCCAUUGGUAGUCAAUGGGUCUAUAAGACCAAAUUUAAUGCGGAUGGUACCGUCGAACGUUAUAAAGCGAGAUUGGUUGUUCUCGGCAAUAAACAAGUCGAAGGCAUUGAUUAUCAUGAAACAUUUGCUCCGGUGGUACGGAUGACAACCGUACGUACUUUGCUUCGCUUGGCUGCUGCACACAAAUGGGAGGUUUUUCAAAUGGAUGUUCAUAACGCCUUCUUACAUGGGGAUCUUCAUGAGGAAGUUUACAUGAAACUUCCUCCGGGUUUUCGUCACUCUCAUCCCGGUAAAGUGUGUCGCCUUCGGAAGUCUCUUUAUGGUUUAAAGCAGGCUCCGCGAUGUUGGUUUAAGAAGCUCUCCGACUGUUUGCUCCGUUUUGGUUUCGUUCAAUCCUAUGAUGACUACUCGCUCUUCUCCUAUACUCGUAAUGGCAUUGAACUUCGGGUUCUUAUUUAUGUCGACGAUUUACUUAUUUGUGGCAAUGACGGAUACAUGCUACAUAAAUUUAAAGACUACUUAGGGCGGUGUUUCUCUAUGAAGGAUUUGGGCAAGUUGAAGUAUUUUCUCGGAAUAGAGGUUGGUCGUGGUCCCGACGGCAUCUUUCUUUCCCAACGGAAGUAUACUUUAGAUAUCAUCGCCGACAGUGGUAAUCUUGGCUGCAAACCGGCGUUUACUCCUCUUGAACAGAACCAUGGUCUCGCACGUGAUGAUGGACCGGUUCUUGUUGAUCCAACACCAUAUCGUCGGUUGUUAUAUCUUCUUCAUGCUAGACCAGAGUUAGCAUAUUCCGUUCAUGUGUUAGCUCAGUUUAUGAAAACGCCUCGUGAAGCGCAUUGGGAUGCUGCCUUGCGUGUUGUCCGGUAUCUCAAAGGCUCUCCUGGUCAAGGUGUGUUUCUUAAAUCUGAUCAAGACCUUACUCUCACGGUCUAUUGUGAUUCAGAUUGGUCUGCUUGUCCCCUCACUCGUCGUUCCUUAAGUGCAUUUGUGGUUUUUAUGGGUGAUUCUCCUAUUUCUUGGAAGACAAGAAAGCAAGACACCGUCUCUCAUUCUUCUGCUGAGGCUGAGUAUCGCGCUAUGUCUGUUGCUCUUCGUGAAAUAAAGUGGCUGCGCAAACUGUUGAAAGGAUUGGGUAUCGAACAAACAACGCCCACUCGUCUCUUCUGUGAUAGUAAAGCUGCGAUACACAUUGCCUCUAAUCCGGUCUUUCAUGAGCGUACGAAACAUAUUGAGAAUGAUUGUCACUCGGUUCGUGAUGCUGUUCGUGACGGCAUUAUUACAACACAACAUGUCCGUACAAAUGAACAGCUUGCUGAUAUAAUGACCAAGGCUUUGGGUCGGGAUCAGUUUCAAAUUUUAAUGUCCAAGUUGGGCAUUCAUGACCCACAUGCUCCAACGUGAGGGGGGGUAUUGAGGAUAAGGAUUAUGAAAAUAUAUUGUGAUAAGGAUUAGGAGAGUUUGUGUCUAUCUUAUGUUCAUAAACGUUUGUAUAAAUACCCAAGUUUGGGAUGUUAAUAAGAUCAAGUUAGUUCGAUAACCAAUUCUACAUCUCUCUCACUCUCACUCAUUGUUGCAUCUUGCUACUGAUAUGUUGGCUUUGUUCAUCACAGGUUGGGUGUUGCAGCACUAUCAAAUUUUCCCAGCUUACACACUUCACGAUAUGUCCAGAGAAAACAGAUUGGGUGAAACCAACUAUGCUUUUGCUUCAAAAUUCUCCGAAAUUAAAAUCUCUCACGAUCGUAAACGAUUACGUACGUAGCCUCCCUCCUCCAACUUUGAUGUGUUGAAAUAAGUAUGCGUUUGAUAUAUAUAACAGGUUUUUGCUUUGCAGAAUUUUACCACCAAGGAUCUUCCACUUUCAUGGAUUCAACCGAGUUCUGUUCCUGGAUGCUUGUCGUCGCAACUCGAGAUUAUUGAAUGGAAUGGAUAUGAAAGGAGAAGUAUCGAGGAAGAGUUCGUGACAUACAUCUUCGCAAACUCCGUGUGUUUAAAGACUGCAACAUUCUAUCUGAGUUGCUCCUCCAAGAUGAAAAAGGAGUUCACAAUGGAGAAUUUGAAAGACAUUCCUCGGGUUUCAACAGAAUCCCAGCUUAUAAUUGAGUUUUUUCGAAAAAAAAUCAAAUAAAACAUGAUUAUGUACUGAAUAAAAUUUUAUGUUCAUGUUUUACAAAGAUAAUGGAACAUCUUGCGUGUAUACACAGCUAGACCACGAAUCAAACCUUUUAAAAAGAUACACAUAUCCCUGUCUUGUUCUGUUGUGAUAGAUUACUACUCGGACUCCUCAGGACAAAGACAUAACUUGCAACACUUCUUGUAAUUUGGUUUUCUUGCUCAGUUUUAAAAACAUAUGUUUAAGAUAUCCCAGGCAUAAAGUUUUGUUAAUACAAGGAAGGAAAAAAAAAGUCAUGAAUAUGAUAGAUUCAACCAUAGAAAUAACAGGACAAAGCUCGGAGUAGCAACAAUUUUCAAUGUGGGUAACC